UUGUAAUGCAUUAGCCCCAUCUUGUUUAAAACCAGGAUCGGAUUGACUUGGCGUGAUAGACUUACAAUCCAUCGCUGAGGAACCACCCUUUCAUUAGAGUGUGCCGAACUUGGUAAAGAGAUAAAAGGCUUCUAAAGUCACUGUGUAGUCUAUUCAAAGAAUUAGACCUCAGAUCAGGCAGGACUACCCGCUGAACUUAA
rnacentral:misc_RNA from 1 species